UACGAAGGGUGCUAGCGUUGUUCGGAAUUACUGGGCGUAAAGCGCGCGUAGGCGGCUUGUCAAGUCAGGGGUGAAAUCCCACAGCUUAACUGUGGAACUGCCCUUGAAACUGUCAAGCUAGAGUGUCGGAGGGGAUAGCGGAAUUGCUAAUGUAGAGGUGAAAUUCGUAGAUAUUAGCAGGAACACCGGUGGCGAAGGCGGCUAUCUGGACGACAACUGACGCUGAGGCGCGAAAGCGUGGGGAUCGAACAGG
rnacentral:rRNA from 1 species